rnacentral:misc_RNA from 1 species
AGCAGUUCCUUACAACCGUGGUUUCCGAUAACAUAAACUCAGCACCGAAGACAUACGACAUCCAAUCCAUUCUCCGCAUUUGUUUGUCUUUAGAUAAUAAUUCCAAGCCUAUCUAUUUCCAUCAAAAUAGAACACAAGUCAAGUUACGAUAGUGUUUUCUCUCGUUUAUUCAUACCAUCCAAUAUAUCCAUCGACUCCAUCCAGAUUAACCCUCAAAGCUACACUAUCACUUCUAAAUCCUACAACAUUUAUACCGAAAUCAGAGCCAAACUAGGACCGAGCAUCGCAUCCAACAUACUUGGUUUCAUCCUUGUUCUCGCCGCUUUGCACCUCCUAGUUUGUAACGAUGUGUAUGAGUAUCUGGAGUCCUU